GACGAACGCUGGCGGCGUGCCUAAUACAUGCAAGUCGAGCGCAGGAAACUGACGGAACUCUUCGGAGGGAAGGCAGUGGAAUGAGCGGCGGACGGGUGAGUAACACGUAAGGAACCUGCCUCAAGGAUUGGGAUAACUCCGAGAAAUCGGAGCUAAUACCGGAUAGUUCAACGGACCGCAUGGUCCGCUGAUGAAAGGCGCUCCGGCGUCACCUUGAGAUGGCCUUGCGGUGCAUUAGCUAGUUGGUGGGGUAACGGCCCACCAAGGCGACGAUGCAGGGCCAACCUGAGAGGGUGGUCGGCCACACUGGGACUGAGACACGGCCCAGACUCCUACGGGAGGCAGCAGUAGGGAAUCUUCCACAAUGGACAAAAGUCUGAUGGAGCAACGCCGCGUGAGUGAUGAAGGUUUUCGGAUCGUAAAACUCUGUUGUAAGGGAAGAACACGUACGAGAGGAAAUGCUCGUACCUUGACGGUACCUUACGAGAAAGCCACGGCUAACUACGUGCCAGCAGCCGCCGUAA
rnacentral:rRNA from 1 species